AUGUUUCCUGCACAUCUGCCGCUGCUGGCAGGGGCCUCCUGUGUGUUCUGUCAGACUGAGCUCACACAGCCAGGCUCUAUGACCCUGCAGCCUGGACAUCCUCUGACCCUCUCCUGUAAGGUCUCUGGGUAUUCAGUAACCAGCACCAGCUACUGUACAGGUUGGGUACGACAGCCUGCAGGAAAAGCACUGGAGUGGGUUGGAGAAAUUUGUUCAGGAACAGAUGUUAUCUAUGCAGACUCCCUGAAAGGCCAGUUCAUCCUGACUGAGGACGUCUCUACAAGCACACAGUUCUUAGAGGCCAAGAGUCUGAGAUCAGAGGACUCUGCUGUUUAUUAUUGUGCUCGACAGGCACACUGACUGAAGCUGGUGAAGCAGCUGU